AGCACGUGAUGCUGCAUCACCUCGCACUGCCCUGCAUUGUCUGGUAUCACCCCAUGGUGCAUUGAAUUGCCUGCAUGGCCUUGCGUUGCUCUCCAACACCUCACCUCAUGUUUCACCUCCCUGCAUCUUGUUGCCUUGCCUCACCCCGAGUUGCAUCCCCUGAUUGCCCUGCAUUGCAUCGCCUCAGACUACCUACCCUUGUUUCAUGUUGCCCUGCAUUUCAUCACCCUGAUUGACAUCGCCCUGCAUCACAUUGCUUUGCCUCAUCCUGAAUCGCAUCACUUUCCAUUUUGACUCCCUGCAUUGUUGCCUUGCAUUGCAUCACCCUGAACUGCACCACAUCACCUUGCAUUUCAUCUCCCUGCAUCGUGCUGCCCUGCAUUGCAUUGGCUUGCAUUGCCCUGCAUCUCAUUGCCCUCUGUGGCAUCCCAUUGCCCUGCAUCCCAUCCGUGUGCACUGCACCGCCCCGGAUGGCAGCAGCUGGCUCUGUGUCACCUCGCAUCACUCUGCAUCGUGCUGUGUCGCCCUGUAUCACGCUGCCUGGGCGCUGCACCCCCACCUUGCAGCGACCUGCAUCCUCCUCUCUCCCCUCUCCCUGCAUCGCAGCACGGUGCCCGUGGGCAGGAGGGUGCUGGGGUCUCAUUGCCUCCUCCCUGCCUGCAAUGGGCUCAGCCAUCCUCCUGUCCCUGCUGCUGAAGCUGCCCAUCCCUGUUGCCCAUCCCUCCCUGCCUGGUCACCUGGUGCAGUGACCCCCCCCACACCAUGUUGGGGUCCCUCUGCUUUGUGUUUCACACAUCCACCACCCCUCACAUCCUCAAACCACUCCCGCCCUUCUCACACGCCUCCCCAGGGAUGCCGAGAUCCUGCGAGCGCCUCUGCACACCCCUCUUAUCGCCAUUCUUUUUAAUUAUUGGGCUAAUUACUGGAAGCAGCAGCGCGGAGGGCCAGAACCGCAGGCUCUGCUGCAAAAAGAGUCAUUUCAACUUGCUGGCUCUGCCCGUCUCUGCCGGCUGCUGCCUCCCGCAGCCCCCCCGGCCCCAGCGAUCCCCCUGCCCCGGCGCGAUGCCAUCUGGAAGCUGUCUGCUCCCGCCAGCAGCCGUCAUUACCGAGCGCCUCGCCACCGUCGUCAUUAAAGCUCCCCAUUUCCUCAGCCCGCUUGCUCUGGGAGCAGGGACACACCUGGGUCACCGGUUUGAUCUCUUAAGGCAGUCAAGUGGCAUUUGGGGGCUAAUGAAGGGCUUGGUGGCAGGGGGAUGCAUCCUGCCUGUCCUCAGUACCAGUGGGUUGAAGGUACUGGGGUGGACACAAACCUGGAUGAGAUGGAGAUUUGUCAGCCUGGCUUAGGGUCUGUGGCUGUCCAGGGGCAUCCCCAGUGCUGCUCCCUUGGCAAUGACACAGUGGUGACACCAGUGCUGUCCCCUCAGCUUCCAUCAAGGCAGUGAGUAUAACAAGAGGAGGGCACAGGGUGCUGGCAGUGUUUGUCUGAGCCCAGCUCCUGGCACACUUCCCUGUGGUGCCAGGCAGCCUUGAGCCGGGACAUGGAUUCAUGUGUGCCACAUGUCCCUCCAUCACCCUCAUGCCACUGCCACAACAUGUCAAAAACCACAUGGUCCCUUUGCUGGCAGUUCUGCCACAGCCACAUAAACCACACUGCUGGUUUGACAGGUCCCAGCUCAGCCCUUUUCCUUGCAGCACCCACCAGUAACACCUCAGCACCUUUUUGGGGUCUACAUACACAUGGGGCUUUAUUUAAUUCUAUUUCCACAAACACCAGCUGCUCAGGCAUGCACCAAUCACAGAAUGUCCUCAGGCACCAAGCAGCCAGGCUCAGUGCCACCCACAUCAGCCCAGCACCCCAUCCCUCCCUGUUCCCCAUCCCUUUUUGGGAUGUUUUCCAUGCCACUGCCCCAUAUUGCAGUUGCAUCUUGCAGGCUUUGCGGGCAACUGGAUGCGGCUAAAGCCUAAAUUCCAGGGAAAUGAUGGGUCAAAAAAAUCUGGAAAGCUGGCACAAAAGCCCCUACCACAGCAUGGUAUCCUCUGCCAGUGCUGGUGGAACAAAGCAGGAAAAUCAAAGCCAGGCUGUGGGGCAGCCCUGGGCUGUGGUGGGAGAAUUAAUGGGAGCAAAGAGCCCUGCAUGCUGUGUGGGAGUGGGUUUGAAAAAUGAAAUCGGCUUGAGAAGACCCUGGGCUGAAGCUUUAGGGGGAGCUUUUCUCCCCUUUCUCCUUUAUUAUUAAUUAUCGUGAUUAAUUAUUAUUAUUAAUUAAUUAUUGUUAAUUUUCCAAACAGCUGGGACAAUGUUGGGAUGAGCAAAAGCGCAUGGCGCAAGGGGAAGGAUCAGUCACCGGCACACAGAGGGCAGGGACAUGGCAUGGCUGGAUCUGGAGCCCUCUGAAGGCAGCCCAGGACUUCCCAUGGCAGGGACCCUCGCUGCUGCUCAUCCCGCGGGGGCUGAUCCAGCCCUGCUGCUCCUCCGGCUGCUCCCUCGCCUUCGCUGCUGUACCAUCAACAAGGACUCAGCGACUAAAAAUAGCAGCGUGCUCUCGCAGGGGGAUGCUCCGCCAUCAGAGCACUGCUGGCACCGCGGACACCCCGUUCCCCACCCCAAACCCUCUCCCAACCCUCAUUCCACUCCCAGGGGUGCAGCCCCAUAUGGUGAGGUGGUAUCGGAGCUGAGAACGAAGGGAUUGGACCCUCCUGAAUCCCCCUGCAGCUCUCAGGGAGGGGAAUAAGCGCCUAUCGAGUAGCGUCAGCCCCGGAUUUGUUUAAUUGUGAGCUGGUGGAGUUUAAAGAAAC